GAGUGAACACAGCUCUUCUAGAAUUUUUCUAGCAGGGUUUCUGGCUUUGAUUGGAAAAUCUAAG